GGUCCCUUGGUGUAGUGGUGAUCACACUCGCUUUACACGCGAGGGGUCCUGGGUUCGAACCCCAGAGGGACCA